rnacentral:rRNA from 2 species
AAAUUGAAGAGUUUGAUCAUGGCUCAGAUUGAACGCUGGGGGCAGGCCUAACACAUGCAAGUCGAACGGUAACAGGAAGCAGCUUGCUGCUUUGCUGACGAGUGGCGGACGGGUGAGUAAUGUCUGGGAAACUGCCUGAUGGAGGGGGAUAACUACUGGAAACGGUGGCUAAUACCGCAUAACGUCGCAAGACCAAAGAGGGGGACCUUCGGGCCUCUUGCCAUCAGAUGUGCCCAGAUGGGAUUAGCUAGUUGGUGAGGUAACGGCUCACCAAGGCGACGAUCCCUAGCUGGUCUGAGAGGAUGGCCAGCCACACUGGAACUGAGACACGGUCCAGACUCCUACGGGAGGCAGCAGUGGGGAAUAUUGCACAAUGGGCGCAAGCCUGAUGCAGCCAUGCCGCGUGUAUGAAGAAGGCCUUCGGGUUGUAAAGUACUUUCAGCGGGGAGGAAGGUGUUGUGGUUAAUAACCGCAGCAAUUGACGUUACCCGCAGAAGAAGCACCGGCUAACUCCGUGCCAGCAGCCGCGGUAAUACGGAGGGUGCAAGCGUUAAUCGGAAUUACUGGGCGUAAAGCGCACGCAGGCGGUCUGUCAAGUCGGAUGUGAAAUCCCCGGGCUCAACCUGGGAACUGCAUUCGAAACUGGCAG